rnacentral:rRNA from 1 species
CCUACGGGAGGCUGCAGUGAGGAAUAUUGGUCAAUGGCCGUAAGGCUGAACCAGCCAAGUCGCGUGAAGGAAGAAGGAUCUAUGGUUUGUAAACCUCUUUUAUCGGGGAAUAAAGGUAUCCACGUGUGGCUAUUUGCAUGUACCCUAUGAAUAAGCAUCGGCUAACUCCGUGCCAGCAGCCGCGGUAAUACGGAGGAUGCGAGCGUUAUCCGGAUUUAUUGGGUUUAAAGGGUGCGUAGGUUGUUUUUUAAGUCAGCGGUGAAAGUUUGUGGCUCAACCAUAAAAUUGCCGUUGAAACUGGAAGACUUGAGUGUGUUUGAGGUAGGCGGAAUGCGUGGUGUAGCGGUGAAAUGCAUAGAUAUCACGCAGAACUCCGAUUGCGAAGGCAGCUUACUAAACUGCCACUGACAUUGAUGCACGAAAGUGUGGGUAUCGAACAGGAUUAGAUACCCGUGUAGUC